UGGGGAAUAUUGCACAAUGGGGGAAACCCUGAUGCAGCGACGCCGCGUGAGCGAUGAAGGCUUUCGAGUCGUAAAGCUCUGUCCUAUGGGAAGAUAAUGACGGUACCAUAGAAGAAAGCCCCGGCUAAUUACGUGCCAGCAGCCGCGGUAAUACGUAGGUGGCAAGCGUUGUCCGGAAUUAUUGGGCGUAAAGAGCGCGUAGGCGGUCGUGCAAGUCAAUCUUAAAAGUGCGGGGCUUAACCCCGUGAUGGGAUUGAAACUGUGCGACUGGAGUAUCGGAGAGGAAAGUAGAAUUCCUAGUGUAGCGGUGGAAUGCGUAGAGAUUAGGAAGAAUACCGGUGGCGAAGGCGACUUUCUGGACGAAAACUGACGCUGAGGCGCGAAAGCGUGGGGAGCAAACAGG
rnacentral:rRNA from 1 species